rnacentral:rRNA from 1 species
GACGAACGCUGGCGGCGUGCUUAACACAUGCAAGUCGAACGGUGAAGCGCCUUCCUUUUUGGUGGGUGUGGAUGAGUGGCGAACGGGUGAGUAACACGUGAGUAACCUGCCCCCUUCUUCUGGAUAACCGCAUGAAAGUGUGGCUACUACGGGAUAUUCUGGGUCUGUCGCAUGAUGGGUCUGGGCAAGAUAUUGUUUCGGUGGGGGAUGGGCUCGCGGCCUAUCCGCUUGUUGGUGGGGUGAUGGCCUACCAAGGCGGUGACGGGUAGCCGGCCUGAGAGGGUGGACGGUCCCACUGGGACGGAUUCACCGCCCCGACUCCAGCAGGGGGCAGCAGCGAGGAUUGCUGCACGGUGGGCGGCAUCCUGAUGCAGCGACGCCGCGUGAGUGAUGGAGUCCUUCGGUUUGUGAACCUCUUUCGCCAGUGAAGCAGGCCUGCCUCGUUUGUGGGUGGGUUGACGGUAGCUGGAUAAUAAGCGCCGGCUAACUACGUG